rnacentral:ncRNA from 1 species
AUUCCGUCGUGAGGAACAGCAGGAACAGACAUUUGGUUCACGCGCUUGGUUGAAAGGCCAGUGGCGCGAAGCUACCAUCUGAAAGAUAACGACUGAACGCCUCUAAGUCAGAAUCUUGCCUAUCGACUGGCGACGAUACGUUGCGUACGAAUUGUUCCAAGGUUGACGGUAGACCGGUCUCCAUUUCAAGCCACGUUGUCACAUGUCAAGGUAAUGUCGUCGGCUAGCAUGAACGAAAUAUUGCGGCGGUGGCGGCGAAAGCACUAAUCACCCAACGAGUGAAACAACAGUCGAAUAGCAAAGCCCUGCGCAGACGAUGGACAUGCCCGUCGAGAUGUCGUGAUAACUGGAGCGGUUGCAACACUGCGAUUUGUUGAGACUUUGCCUUUCACUGGAUUGCUU